UCUUCUAGACUUCAGUGUUGAACCUGGACCUUCAGACACAAACAGCUCAGACACACAGCAGAGUCUUCAGGUUCCAGCAGGUUGUCUCUGAAGAGUGACUGGUCCAACAGUCUUCCACCAGACUUCAGUGAUGAACCUGGACCUUCAGACACAAAAAAGAGGAGGACUGAUAUCUGUGAGGAGCAGCCAGAAGGAUCCAG